UUGAAUGAAUAGCUGCUUCCAAGCUAACAUCCUAGCUGUCUCUGCAACAAAACACCGCAAGACCAAGGUUUCCUGAUCAACGCUAAUCGGAUCAGGGUUAGUCGGGUCCUAAGGGUAAGCCGAACGGUGAUCUCGAUGGAUAAUCGGUUAAUAUUCCGAUACUGACAUAUACCUCGAUGGAGAGACGAAGGAACGUAAGUGCCGCCACCUGACGGAAUAGGUGGUUAAAGGGCGUAGGUAUAGGGGCAGAUUAAGAGUUAGUCCUUGCUGAAACCUGACAGUACAGAGAGCCUACGGGCAAUUUGAUAGAGCACCCAAGUCGACUUCCGAGAAAAUCUUCUAAGUUAUAGUAUAUGUUACCCGUACCGUAAACCGACACAGGUGGUCGAGGAGAGUAUCCUAAGGUGCUCGAGUGAAUCACGGUUAAGGAACUAGGCAAAUUAACCCUGUAACUUCGGGAAAAGGGGUCCCAUCGCGAGGUGGGCGCAGCGAAGAGGUCCAGGCGACUGUUUAUCAAAAACACAGGGCUCUGCAAAUUCGAAAGAAGACGUAUAGGGCCUGACACCUGCCCGGUGCUGGAAGGUUAAGAGGGGAUGUCAUCGCAAGAGAAGCAUUGAAUCGAAGCCCCAGUAAACGGCGGCCGUAACUAUAACGGUCCUAAGGUAGCGAAAUUCCUUGUCGGGUAAGUUCCGACCUGCACGAAUGGUGUAACGAUCUGGACACUGUCUCAACCGUGAGCUCGGUGAAAUUGUAGUCCCGGUGAUGAUGCCGGGUACCCGCAACGGGACGAAAAGACCCCGUGAACCUUUACUAUAGCUUAACGCUGAAUUUGGGUACACAAUGUGUAGGAUAGGCCGGAGGCUUUGAAGCGGGCACGCCAGUGUUCGUGGAGCCGACGUUGAAAUACGGCCCUUUGUGUAUUUGAGUUCUAACCCUGCGAAGGGGACACCGUUUGGUGGGUAGUUUGACUGGGGUGGUCGCCUCCAAAAGCGUAACGGAGGCUUCCCAAGGUACCCUCAGCACGAAUGGUAACCGUGCGCGGAGUGCAAUAGCAUAAGGGUGCUUGACUGUGAGACAUACAAGUCGACCAGGUACGAAAGUAGGGUAUAGUGAUCCGGUGGUUCUGCGUGGACUGGCCAUCGCUCAAAGGAUAAAAGGUACUCCGGGGAUAACAGGCUGAUCGCCGCCAAGAGCUCAUAUCGACGCGGCGGUUUGGCACCUCGAUGUCGGCUCGUCACAUCCUGGGGCUGGAGAAGGUCCCAAG
rnacentral:rRNA from 1 species